GGUUGUUUGGUUUAUCAUCUAUCUGGUAUCGCAAGUCAUCAAUUCGACCUCUUCGAUGACCACGAGGAAUAAUUUCUUCACCACGCACCCAGUAAAAAUGAACUGGGCAUCUAUAAUCUAUCAAAAAGAUAUUCAAAAUUUUUUUCAUCUGAUCAUCUAAAUAAAUUUGGUUACUAUUAGAACACUAAAGAGUACUAACUUAGCAAAUGAUAACUUAGGAAUGAUUGAGGUAAGAGUCUGGGUUAUGUGGUAAUUUAACUAUUAUGACUUAAAUAUAACAUUCAAACAUUUAUUGUCUACUUGUGCCAUCAUUACAAUGAACAGUAACCAAAGAGAUUCCUCAUUAGGAGUAAUAAAAGAAAAUAAGAUUAACAAGAAUAUCAUUCACCAUAAAUAAAAAUAGGGCUAUUUUAUGAACAUCCAAUUCAAUUUUCACAAUAACUCCCAAAGGUAUGUAUACUUUUCAUUAUCUCUAUUUUAUAGGAGAAGAACCUGGGUCUUGACAAAGUUAAACAGGUUUUCUAGGCCAUCCAUCAGGAGUAGUCUAAGUCCAUGACGCUUUCCUCAAGACCACUUCUUUCUCAACUGGGGAAGGGAAAAAACAUGCACACAACAAGGCUAGGUUGAGCACACAUCUACAGUCCUAACAUUACUUCAAUAAAUAUUAAGACAUACACUUGGUAGAAGAUAUAAAAUAAUGAAUGCGUCAAAAACAAUAAUUUUUAAAAUUAUUUAUACGUUAAUUACUUUUCAUGUCCGCCCUGAACAGUUACACGGAAGCUGCUGAUUUUUUACUAGGAACUUGGAAUGGGAGUUUGAAGUUUGACCCCCUAAUCUCUUAGCUAUAGGGUGUCAGGCAGACACAUUUAACGUUUCUAUGCCUCAGUUUGUUACGUUUUUGUCUUUUUUUCAUUUACCAAAACAUUGCUACCUAUCGUGAACGGUUAUUGUGAGCAUUAAUAAGUUGGCACAUAUAAAAUUUAGAACCAGGGCCUAGCACAUAAAUACUGAGUAAACGUUAGGUAUCUUAGUUAAUACUUCAUUUAAUCUUCACAAUUCUACAACAAAGAACUACUACCGUAAAACGCGAAAAAUUAAGCAAAAAAGUUACUAAAGAAAAAGAAAAGACAUACUAAAUUUAAAAUUAAGGUAAAAAGAAGUUACUACUCAGCCAUGUGACACAUGGUCACACAGCUUUGUGGUGGAACAGCCAACAGGAAACCUGGCCCGCCCCACUCUCUUAAGUGGCGUUUCUCUUCAUCACCACUGCUCUUCCAUUUGGCUGAACACUCACAAAGUAGAAUCCAGGACUGGAAUCCUGGAGAGCUCAGGCUUUCAGAGUUGAAGAGCUGGUAGGUGUUAGCGCAGCCACACACACCUAGUCUCUAGAUUCCUAACGCAGUGACUGUUACAAAACCAGGCCACCCCAGAUAGGAACGAAAGGACUAGGAAAACAUGAACGAAGCAGAGAGAAAGAAAUGACGAGGGGUAAAUCUGCGGCAGAGUAACCCAGUACAAUCCCCAUCUCUCCCUUCCGCCCUGGGGCGGAAUCCAAGGCUCACCGAGGGCGGCAGCGGCCAGGGCCGGGUUGUGUGGGCUGAGGAGGCCCACGAGGGUUGACACCAGCUGAUCCAGGAAGGGCAAAGAUAUGACCUCGCUCUCCUCGUAACGGUGCACGCGCCGCCUGCGCCGCAGGUAGAAGUGCUCCUGCAGCAGGCAGUCGCAGGCGACCGCACGCAGCGCCGCGAGGUCCAGCGCAGGUUCAGGUUCGGGUUCGGGCUCGGGCUCGGGCUCCGCUGGGGGCGGCGGCAGACCCGACAGGAACACGGUCUUGGUGAAGUACUGGUACCAGCGGUCGGCAUUCAGCGCGAAGGUCUGCGGGUAAACCAUGUACUUCAUAAACUGCAUCUUGGUGAGGAUUCGCAGCUUCUCGUCUACCGACUCCGCAGCGUGCACCGUCGCCUGCCAGCGCUCGAUCCGCCGCAGCCGUGCAGCUUUGCUGUCGGCUGUCAUGGAGGCCACAAUCGGCGGGUACCGCGCGACGGGGGUCGCCGCGACGUCUUGGCAGGUCGUUUCUGUAGCCGUGGCGGCGGCAUUAGCCGCGGUGUGCAAUGAAAGCCUCGGACCGCGUAGCAAAGGCCUCCAACACCUGGCCGCCGCCAUCUUUGCCCGCGAUUCCGGACCCAGAGGUCAACUUAAGCAAUUGUCCUUGCCCUCUUGCUGUAGGGACCAAUCGGAAAGCGGAAUCUGAGCCAGUCUGGGAAAGGACGAUUCUCAGUGGGCGUGGGUUAUGUUGCGUCAUUCAUGGUUUAGCCAAUCAUAUAACUUCUCCAGUCGUGGUUUCCUGCGUUUGUAGAUGGAAGGAAGAACUUGUGUGCUUAGACCUGACGCUGGGAGGAGAUGCUGCCACCUAGGUUACUUGUAGGACCCUAUACGGCAACCUCCUUUGCCAGGAACUAUUUAUAAACAUCCUGCAGGAAAAUGGUAAGCCCUUGGUUAAAUUUAUUGGCUUCAUUUAUGUAUCUCACAACACUUCUUUUCUGUUUUAGUUCUAGGAAUAGAAACUUACUUUUGGAAAUACAGUACUAGCAUGUUUUUCAGUAUAUUUGAUUAUAUUUAAAAAUUAUGCAAGCAUCACUCGUGACCUACUAUUCAUCUUUGGGAAAAUAAUUCCAUAUAUUUAUCUGUGCUAAAUACAGACAAUUUGUUUAAUGAUAUUUAUUUUGAAAGGGGGGUGUAUUUUUACUUGGAUUUAACUGGGGAAGACAGAAAGAAAAGGGAAAUAAAACUAUCAAAGAAGUGUGUUUAAAUUUUGCCUUGUAUUAAAACCCAUUAUAAAUUAAACACGAGUUCUUACUAAUCUGUGAGCCUCUUAAAAAGGGACUGAUUUAAUUUUUAAUCUUCAGCAACAAAUCAAUACUUGUGCAUAAUGGGUGCUCA
rnacentral:lncRNA from 1 species